rnacentral:rRNA from 2 species
CGGGACCUCAGGUCAGGCGGGGCUA